UAGCUCAGUUGGUAGAGCACGACCUUGCCAAGGUCGGGGUCGCGGGUUCGAGUCCC
rnacentral:tRNA from 2 species